rnacentral:misc_RNA from 1 species
UGGUUCUGGCAUCGAUGAAGAACGCAGCGAAAUGCGAUAAGUAAUGUGAAUUGCAGAAUUUAGUGAAUCAUCGAAUCUUUGAACGCACAUUGCGCCCAUUAGUAUUCUAGUGGGCAUGCCUGUUCGAGCGUCAUUUCAACCCUUAAGCCUCUGUUGCUUAGUGUUGGGAGCCUACGGUAACGUAGCUCCCCAAAUAUAGUGGCGGAGUCGGUUCACACUCUAGACGUAGUAGAUUUUAUCUCGCCUAUGAGUUGGACCGGUCCCUCGCCGUAAAACCCCUAUUUUCUAAAGGUUGACCUCGGAUCAGGUAGGAAUACCCGCUGA